GCUUUAUCAAGACCAGGCUUGCUCUGCGGUGAGUGACGCGGUGUAAAGAGCCAGGAGGAGGAGGAGAGGGGAGCAGCUGAAUCGACUCUGUCCACUGUUGUGGUUCUACUGAAGCUGUGAUCCGAUUGGUCCUCUCUGCUCUGGUGGUUGUGGCUACUGUCAUUCUUCUGGUUUAUGACAUCAGAUCCAGAAGAGCUCAACAAGAUCAAACACAUAUUCACACAUCAGGUCACCGUAGCCACCAGAUCAGAUGGUCACUGCAGUCACCCGGAUCCAGGCCAUAUCCAGAUCAGAUGGUGGUUCAGCACCUAGAGAUGACUUCUACAGCCUCAGAGACAGAUCCCCAGUGAAGACAUCGUCACCUAGACGGCCAUCAGGCCAGAUAAAAAUAAACCUACCAUUAAAAUUGUAGACUGAUCAUUUCUUUGUCAGUGGGCAAACGUACAAAAUAAGCAAGGGAUCAAAUAAUCUUUCCCCACUGUAUAUAUAGGGAGAAGCGUCCGACCCCCCAGUGUUCCCACAUCUUCGAAUCUGGCCCCCUUUAGGAAAAGGUUGGACACCCCUGACUAAAACUAUAAAAACAUUUCUGUUAAUUAAAUUACAUCUAAAAUAAAACAAAAUUAAUAAAUAAAAUAUAAAUUGGAUAUUGAACAAAAACUGGAAGUGUUGCCUUGGCAAUAAACUGAAAUGAUUAUUUUAAAAAAGCAUAAAGAAAGCUUCUUUAUAUCUUGUAUCAGGGAAUUCUGACCAGUGUUCUGUUUCAUGCACACUGUAACCAAUUUUUGUCAUUUGAACAGUAUUUGACUGUAAUAUGUGCAGUAAGAUACUGUAAAAUGUGUAUACAUGUAUUUGAAUGUAAACCGCAAAGGAUUAUGGGAAAAUAUAUGGUCACUACUGUAUUUCUUCACUACU